rnacentral:lncRNA from 13 species
CAUGGGAUAAUGACUGGUAGAGUCAUGCAUGGUCCACCAAGGGAGGGAGGUCAUAUGCCCGCCCUUGAUGUACAACAAAUUGUAAUGUCUAAUUAUGUGAAAAAACUGACGGUUCUCUCUGCAGCACUCUCUACCCAGGUUCACAAGGUCCAGGAGGGGGAGCUGCCGGGGGACACGCCACUACUGAAGAGCAAAGAACUUUUGCUGUGCACCAAUGGGGCCCGCUCUGGCUAGAGCAAGGCCUGCCUCCAACCCUCCGACCAGUCAAGAAGACCGAAACGACAAGACUCCACCUACUUUAUUCUAUGUAUAAAAAUGAAUGUAACCGUAGUAUAAGGUCUCUUUUUCACCUGGCUCCUUGCCGAGUUAUGUGAACUAGGUCCGUGCACGUAAAACUGCGGGACAAGAUAUCUCUGACUCAUUAAACCUGUCUUUUGUUACAACUGAAAUCCACUCUGUCCAGCGUCCGUGAUUUGGUCUCAACUCUCCAGUUUUUGAACACUAACACAUGCGUCAAAUACAACAGGUGUAGUCCUUACAGUGAAAUGCUUACUUACAAGCCCUUAACCAACAAGUCUGUUUUAAGAAAAAUAAGUGUGAAGAAAGUAUUUACUAAAAUAAACUGAAGUAAAAAAAACGAAGAAGAAAAUAGAAAAAUAACAAAUAAUUAAAGAGCAACAAUAAAAUUACAGUAAUGUUACAGUAUGUACAGGGGGUGUAGGUACAAAGUCAAUGUGCGGGGUAAUAUGUACAAUUGAGGUAAUAUGUACAAGUAGGUAAAGUGACUAUGCAUAGAUAAUAAACAGAGAGAAGUAGCAUCGUAAAAAUGGGGGUUGGGGACAAUGCAAAUAGUCAGUGAAGACACUUGCCAGUUGGUCAGCGUAUGCUCAGGAAUACACAUCCUGGUAAUCCGUCAGGCCCUGCGGCCUUGUGAAUGUUAACCUGGCUAUGUAGAGAGCGAUCAAACCGUAGUCUAGAACAGCUGAUACUCUCAUGUAUGCUUCAGUGUUGCUUGCCUCAAAGCGGGCAUAGAAGUAAUUUAGCUCAUCUGGUAGGCUUGUGUCAAUGGGCUUCUCGUGGCUGUGCUUAGAUACACAUUAUAGUUGAAACACAGUCUAGUAGAUACACAUUCUAGUUGAUACACAUUCUAGUAGAUAUACAUUCUAGUAGAUACACAUUCUAGUAGAUACACAUUUUAGUA